UCCCGCGUAGCUUAAUUGGAAAAGCGCCGGUCUACGAAGCCGGUAAAUGGAGGUUCGAGUCCUCCCGAGGGAG
rnacentral:tRNA from 1 species